rnacentral:rRNA from 1 species
AUGCAAACUUAUCACACUCUACGGUCCAAACUUCACCAACUACAACAGCUUAUUGCGCCAUCAUCUCCUGUCAGCUCCAGGUCAGACUCUCGUGUGCCACUCAUUCUUGGAAACAAGUUGAACUCGGGCCUUUUCUACCGCCUGCUCACCUUCAGAGGGGUAUCUUGGGGUCUUGAGAAGUGGGUUUGGGACCCAAUAAUCCCACUUAAGUAUAGAAUCUUCCUAUGGUUACUUUUCUGGGGAUGCCUCAACACUCGAGAUUUCAUGACCAGAAAAGGUUGGGUUGCGGUGGCUCCGUCUACUUGCUGCGACAUCUGCCCGGCUCUGGAAACUGUCCACCAUGUCGUGCUAUGA